rnacentral:rRNA from 1 species
GACGAACGCUGGCGGCGUGCUUAACACAUGCAAGUCGAACGGACAGGCGCUGCUCUUGUGGGGUGCUCGAAUGGCGAACGGGUGAGUAACACGUGAGUAACCUGCCCUUGACUUUGGGAUAACUUCAGGAAACUGGGGCUAAUAACGGAUAGGAGCUCCUGCUGCACGGUGGGGGUUGGAAAGUUUCGGCGGUGGGGGCUGGACUCGCGGCUUAUCAGCUGGUUGGUGGGGUAGUGGCUUACAAAGCCUUUGACGGGUAGCCGGCCUGGGAGGGUGACCGGCCACAUUGGGACUGAGAUACGGCCCAGACUCCUACGGGAGGCAGCAGUCGGGAAUAUUGCACAAUGGGCGGAAGCCUGAUGCAGCAACGCCGCGUGCGUGAUAACGGCCUUCGGGUUGUAAACCGCUUUCUCCUGUGACGAAGCGCGAGUGACGGUAAUGGGUAAAGAAGCACCGGCUAACUACGUG